AGAAUCUGGAGUGACCUUGUCUUUACUAAAAGAUAUAACAGACGAAGAAUUAAAAGAGGUGAUUCCCAAAUUAGGAGUUCGGAUGGAAUUUAAAAGAGCACUUUGCUCAUGGAAUCAAAGAAAUAACUGUGAGAAACCUUCUAUAACCAAUGACCAUAAGGAAGACCAUGAAAAAAACUUCGUUCUAAAGAAGAGCAUUCGUUCAUUAUUAUCGGAGAAUGAACACGGAAAAGCAUUACUAAAUUAGAACACUUUGCUGGAAGUCGACAGAAGAAAUCAAGAAAUCGAAGUAUAUAACUUUAAUAAACAUUUUCGUGCUUACGAAAUUGGCUGUGCAAAAGAGCUUUUAAUAAAAAAGUUAAGUGAAUUCGACACCGCCCCCUUACAUUUAUAUCCUAUAAAUAAUAAAAAAACGUA
rnacentral:sRNA from 1 species